rnacentral:rRNA from 1 species
UGACCGCUGGCGGCGUGCCUACUACAUGCACGUCGAGCGAACAGACGCGGAGCUUGCUCCUCUGACGUUAGCGGCGGACGGGUGAGUAACACGUGGAUAACCUACCUAUAAGACUGGGAUAACUUCGGGAAACCGGAGCUAAUACCGGAUAAUAUAUUGAACCGCAUGGUUCAAUAGUGAAAGACGGUUUUGCUGUCACUUAUAGAUGGAUCCGCGCCGCAUUAGCUAGUUGGUAAGGUAACGGCUUACCAAGGCGACGAUGCGUAGCCGACCUGAGAGGGUGAUCGGCCACACUGGAACUGAGACACGGUCCAGACUCCUACGGGAGGCAGUAGUAGGGAAUCUUCCGCAAUGGGCGAAAGCCUGACGGAGCAACGCCGCGUGAGUGAUGAAGGUCUUCGGAUCGUAAAACUCUGUUAUUAGGGAAGAACAAAUGUGUAAGUAACUAUGCACGUCUUGACGGUACCUAAUCAGAAAGCCACGGCUAACUACGUG